rnacentral:lncRNA from 1 species
GCCAACCUGGGGUGACCCCACCCACCCACCUGCCUGCCUGCACUGGGUGAGAAAAGGACGAUGCUGCCCUUCCUUGUGUUGCCCUCGUCUGCAGAUAGCAUUCCUCUGGUACUGGUGCCAACCCAGCAGCUUGUCAGGAGCUCACUGACAGGAAGCAUCAUUGAAGCCAACGUCUGCUUUUAAGAAGACCAGAAAGACCCAGGUGUGAAGAGAACCAACCAAGCUUUGAACCAGUGCUUCAGGUAUGAAGAGGCACUCGUGGCCCAGCCGAGGAGGAUUUCCAGGACAGCUGCGCCCGCUGCCCG